GACGAACGCUGGCGGCGUGCUUAACACAUGCAAGUCGAGCGGUAAGGCCCUUUCGGGGGUACACGAGCGGCGAACGGGUGAGUAACACGUGGGUGACCUGCCCUCAGCUCUGGGAUAAGCCUGGGAAACCGGGUCUAAUACUGGAUAUGACUCCAUGACGCAUGUUGUGGGGUGGAAAGCCUUGUGCGGCUGAGGAUGGGCCCGCGGCCUAUCAGCUUGUUGGUGGGGUGAUGGCCUACCAAGGCGACGACGGGUAGCCGGCCUGAGAGGGCGACCGGCCACACUGGGACUGAGACACGGCCCAGACUCCUACGGGAGGGCAGCAGUGGGGAAUCUUGCGCAAUGGGCGAAAGCCUGACGCAGCGACGCCGCGUGAGGGAUGACGGCCUCGGUUGUAAC
rnacentral:rRNA from 1 species